ACAUAUCAAACUAACAAGUUUGCUUGUUGGUAUUGGAUGUUGAGGGUUGCUGGGUUUGAUAAUCAGCUCCCUUUAAAUAUAUUAGCUUGGAAUGUAUGAGCCAUUUUAGCUUAGGCUGAUAUGAAUACAGUUUAUUAAAUGCUUUUGCUAGAGUGUUGCUUGUCUAAGCUUAUAACUGUCUUUAUAAUAAGACUGUCUCUUUGACAUCUUAAAUCUUGA
rnacentral:misc_RNA from 1 species